UAAAAUGUUGUGAAAGUUUACACCAGAUCAUGCUUAAUCCAAUAAGAUGGUUAGUUUUGCCCUCUUAUUAGCGCUGUGAGUCUCAGUGACCUUGAAUACUGGGAUACGAAGUGGAGUGAGUUGCUGCAGCUGUGGUUCAGAUGAGGGUGUUUUAUAGGUUGGUAGGGAUAGAUUUGGGGAAGCAGGGUGGAGAGUUUGGAGACUCGUUAGGAUUUAGGGACACGGAUGAGGGCAGUCAGAGUUCAGGAGCAGGAAUUGGAGUCUAGGUCAGAGCUCUCCAUGGUGGAAGGCCAGUGAUCCACAUGGACAGGUGGGCCCUGUGAACAAGAACUACUAACCCCUCCCCUCAGGUCGACGAGAACCUGCUGGUCAACAAGUCCCACGAUUGGAAGUCUGUGCGAGCUAAGAUUUCCAGGCCUGGAGGGCAAAGUCUUGUGUUUGGCAAGUCUAGGGUCAAUAUCGAAGGUGGAAGAUUGAAGUCAGCGAGUCCAGAAGUCAAGGCCCGACAAUUGAACCCCCUGGGUCAUUGUGUCCGUUCUGACAUCUGGGCCAGAGUCUAGCCAGCAGCUUUCCUCAAAACUGUGUUGAUGCUGUGCAUGUCAAGUGUUAAGACAAUGUGCAGGCAAGGAUAGUUUACAGACAGUAUGCAGUCAACCAGUGAGAUAAGGUACUUGAGAGCACCAUUCCCCUUUUCACAGCAUGGGACACACAAGGCCAUUUGGCAAGGUUGCCCUUUCCCAGGGAUGGUACAGAUGGAGACACAACCAGGUUUUGAAAGCACUCGCCCAUAGUUUGGAGACAGAGGGGAAGAAGAACCAUAAAAAGGACAGCCAACGAAACUUCAUCAGGACUGGUGAACAUGCUACAGCAACAAGCAAGCACAGAGAUGGUAUCCUGAGCAUAGCAAAGAACUGGGAGAUGAAAGUCGAUCUUGAAAAGAAGCUGGUGUUUCCACCAAUAGUAGAGACCGACCAGACGUUUUACUAUUGUCAGAGAGUGCAAAGAAGCUCAGGGUGAUAGAGCUAACCGUACCAUGGGAGAUCCAAUGCCAAAAUGAAGACCUGGUGGUGGACUGAAGAUGGGAAGGCUGGCAGACAGGGAACUUCCCUGUUGAAGUGGGGGCGAGGAUUUCCUGCCAUGUCAAGCUGGAAGAUGAUAGCAGCCUAGCUUUAAAAGAAACUGAAGCACAUUUAGAAACAUUGCAUUUGUAAAACAGAAAGACAAAAUAGUUCAGAAAAAAUAUUGUAAAAGACCAAUAUAGUAAUGUAAAAGUCUGACUAGACAGGAAAAAAAUCCACAAAGUCUGCAUUUCAGAUUUUGUUUUAUAUUUUAAUAUAUGUACUUCAAACAUCUUAGAAGCCUGUUGAUAAAAAAAAUGGGUAUAUUUGAUGACGCUAUGUUGCAAACAACAGGUUUGCAUUCCUACAGAGUGCAGAAGGAUCAAGUUAGCUGAUUUCCAUUGUAUCAUGCAUUCAUCUUUCAGUAUUACAAUAAUUUUCAUCCAUUUAGUAAAAUAUACAAUUUGACAAAACUUUACUCAAAUUUACUAGUACGCAAGUUGUAAGGCUACAAACAUUUAAAAAUGAACUAUUUAAAAUCAAGUUAAUCUAAUCUGUUACCCAAUAUUAAGUGAUUUUAAGUAAUUUCAAAAUAAAUCACAAAUCAGACAAAUAUUAAUAAACAAUUGUUUAUUGUGCAAUUUUCCAUAUGAUCCAUCAUAACCUACCACUCCGGUUCAAGAUUUGUUACUCUACACAAAGUCAGGUCUGUUUGCUUGAAGUACAUGCUUUCAUUAAAACAGAUACACAUAUUUACAAAAUUUGAAACGUCUUUACCAUUCCAAUAUUUUUUUAUUCCACACAAGCUAAAGGUCCUUUUCUCUUGCAAAGAAUAAAAAUGUUACUCCAAACAA